ACCUGUUCCUGCCUCGCUCAGUCCUGCUUAGGGGAUUUGGGUCUUUGCCCUUGCUCUGCUGUGCCCCAUGGCUCAGCCCCAUGCUGCUGUGCACCCAGGGUGCUCUUGGGGCAUGGGAGGGGACGUGCUGGUAGUGCUGGGGCCACUGGGAGGGGGCUGGAUCCUGCAGCUGUGCCUCGCUGGUCCCAUCUGCCACAGCUCGCAGCCAACUUCUGCUUCUGCGAGCGCCGGCCUCACUUCUCCUUUGCACCCCGAGACAGGCGACCACUGUGAGAAACCAAGUUGUGUUUUUGCAGUACAAUGUGUUUUUGCAGUGGAAAAUCCACUAACCUUGCAUAUUCAAAAGUGAUUGUGCAGGCAUGACAGUGGCAUAGCAGUGGGGAGGAGUAUGUUAAGCAGAUAAGGGGAAGGUCCCACUGUCCCAAAAUAAGGAGGAUAGCUAAGAAAAACAGGACGAGCAGUACGAAAUCAGUAAAAACAAAAAUCACGGGCCCUCUAGUCAUGAGAGAAGAAGGAAAAAAAGGAAAAAGAGAAAUCAACGGUUGGUCAAAUAAAACUGUACAUGUAUGGUAUUGUAAUAAGUGUCGAGUAGGUUGUGAACCUGUAGUACUCAGCCAAUGAGGAAAUGGGAGGAAUCAGGUGUCAGGUAAUAGGGAAUAUAAGGUUAUGAUAUACUUUUGUUGUGCGCUUCUGCUUGCAGGACGCCUGCCAUUGCAGCUGUGAAUAAAAUAGCUUCACAGAAGAUCCUGUCUGAAAAAAAUUAUUGAGAUUUUUCUCACACUGCUGGGCAGUGGGAGCACCCCAGAGAGCUGGGUGGGAGCCAGCAGGGCUCAGGACUUGCCCAGCACCUGCCCACAUGGCCCAGAGUGUGCUCUACACCAAACUGAGGUUCACCAACAGGCCAGGGGGCCAUGGCAUGGCCAGCCAGGCACUGGAGGCAGCCCUUGGCAUGGACGAGGCCGAGAGCCCCUACGAGAACAUGGCAUCGGGGCCGGCGCCCACGGGGCCGGCUGCGGAAGGGACCCUGGAAAGCCCAGGGCCCUGCUCCCGGCGGUGCUGCGUCUCUGCGGGGCUGCUGGUCACCUGCCUGCUGCUGCUGGUGGCUGCCGUGGUCCUGGGGGCCUGUUAGCUUCCUGAAGAAUGUGGACACUGUGUACUGGAUCGGGCUGCAGAAGAGCAGCCUGGUAUGGCUCUCUGGAGGAAGGGGAGCCAGGCAGCAAUGGGAUCACAGAUGCCUGGUUCUGGGUGGAUGGCUCACUUUACGAACAGUAUGCAUGGCAUGGCCGGGCUAACACCUCCUGCCCAAAUCCCUUCUCCUCCAGCGAGGCCUUAAGAAACAUUUUAAAUUGCACCAGUACCCAGUGCCUGGUGUGAGCGCUGGGCAGUGGUGUGCUGAGAUGCUCAGAGGCCAUGCAAAAGGAAAGCCGAGCUUCAGAGGGCUCAUGCAAGCAAGAGGCAGCAAGAGAGGACAAAGGGAACUACAGGUUUUAUUUGGGAUCUAGACAAAGUGUUUGAGCACCACCCCUAUCUCCCACACGCUUCCCUGGUCCUCCUGGAGGGGGGGGAAUCAGAGCUUCCCACCCAUGGGGGUAUGGGGCUCCUCCCCGCCACGUGCGUCACCUCCCUGGCAUGCCACCGCUUCCUCUUGCGGUGUCUGAAAUCGAUGGGGAGGAACAGCUCUGUCUGGCCGGGUGCCCAGCCCCUGCUUGCGGCGUCCUCGGGGAGCAGGGGGCUCUUCCUGCCACCCCAAAAUGUUGCUGGCUCCAGCUGUCGGCAGCUUCAGCAGGGGCUGAAUGGGGCAGUGACAGCCCCGACGUGGUGUUUUUCCAUACAGGCCGUGGCACUAGAAGCUGAACAAGUCCUGUGCCAUAAUAAGCCGUGGGAACAUCAAACCAGCGCCACGUGAAGGUCUGAAUGACCUGCACCUCUGGAUCUGUGAGAAGGCGGCAGGGCUGAGCUCCCCUUUCGAGUGACAGUGGCUGCUGGCCCUGGCAGCUCUGCGGUGAGCUCAGCCCGAGUCUGCCCAGCCCUGGGGUGUGCAAGGAGGGGCAGCAAAGGUGGAAAAAAUGUGGGAAACACCAUCCCUGGGAGCUGGCCUGGCCCCGCUGAGCAUAUACCCCUCUGCUUUCCCUCACAGAACCCGCAACCCCCUCUGCUUCAGCCCUGCUGCGCCCCACGCUGGAGCCUGCCCCAUGCGCAUCAGCCCCCUCCUGUGCUGCAGAGCCCUGCCCCAACCCCGGCUGAGGCGCUCCAGCGGAGCAGCAUGUCCCCACAGCUCAGCCUCAUGCCCGCAUGAGUGAGCCCCCACAGCCAAUGCUGCCACCCUGCAGCAGCCCCAGCCUAGAGGCAGAAGCAGGGGAUGGCAUGCCUCCAGCAUGCCUCUGCCAACGUGCCCACUACACAGACUUUUAGGCUGGAGCCAUCCUGGCAGCAGCUCGGCGCCAGGUUUCAGGCAGUCCAGGCAAAGCCUUGGAGCCCGAGGAGGGAGCCAGCACUGGCACUAGCAUUUAUUUUUUUUUUGAUUUUUUGCUAAUUAGGGAGUAGAGCAGUGACCUUUGGGAUCGCACCGUUUUGACAGCAAAAGCAGCGCCAGCGCUCGCAGUGGAUGGACACGAGACAAGUCACCGGGGAUUUAAAUAGCUGCUACACGUGCAACAUGGCCCUGAUUUACGUUCAGCCUGGCAAGAGCAGAGGAAGUCAUGUUCAUCUAGGCAAAGAUGCUCUCAGCUUAUUGUCGGGUCGCGUGUGCCAUACUGAUGCAGUGAAAACUCAAUAACCAAAGUUAUUAAGCAGGUAUUCUUUAUUACGGUGCUGGGUGUGUGUGGGAUUGCUCCGCCUAACACACACACCUUAAGGGUUACUGGCAGUGCUUAUAUUAUUGGGACAAAUACAUAUUCAUUUCAUUUCCCGUAAGUCUCUUGCGUAUUCAUCAGGUCUCCGAAGAAUCAUUAACAUUGGUUCCCGACCCUAUUCGCAUGUGUACUGGAGUCCUUGGGUAGGUUCCCGCCCCUAUUCACAUGUGUACUGGAGUCCUUGGGUGGUCCAGCAUACUCUGGUGGUCUUUUGAUGAAGGCCAUAAGUCUUCCUCACUGCUAAUCUUCUGGCCUUUCCUGUCUUCGACAGACUUCAGCAGUCAAGGCACUUCUUGCUGGUUCCCUUAUCUAUGCAUACAGUCUUUUACUCCCCUAUCUUUGGGGUCGUUAACAUACAGUUGUGCUAGCUAAGACCUAGGAAUCAACAUCCUUUAUCUUGUUCCCUCUCUCAAGUUCCCCCUUUUCUUUAUCCUAAGGCAAAUUAUUUUGCUUAUAGCACUCCUUCUUGAUUCAAAGUUUUCAUAAAAUUCUUACCAGUUUCUACAUGGUGCUUGAUUUGGUUACACUUCCAGGUUUCAUAAUCAUUUAGUCCUUUUACACAGCACCAAAAUGCACACUGUACUAAUACACAGGUUAAGAAUACUAGUAUAAGCAAGAUCAAUAUUCCUAUAAACAACUGCUUAAGCCAAUAAAAGUUGGGUAACCAAGAGGUCA
rnacentral:lncRNA from 1 species